AAAAGCUUUGCACUUAAUUGUUGUAAAAUUGAGUGAGCACGUGAAAUUAACUGCUCUAAUCUCUAAACCCAUUCCUUCCUAUUCCAUAAUCAUGGAAUCCCGCAUCCAUAAAAUCUCAAGAUUUCAAUCUAAAAAAGGAGUUUAUGCCCUAGCCUUCAACUGUAGAACAAGAUCAUCCUUACAUGAUACCCAAAUCCUAAGUAAUUGGGUAUAUUAAGUGUAAAUACAAAUACUGUAUUAUUUGAGCAUCGAUUAUGGCCGAUGGUAAUAUGGUUACAACGUGCCAAGUACAAGCCUAAAUGCAAGGACUCCAUCCCUGGCGUGUUGAAUUUGAACAAGGAACCAUUUUUGUUUAUACCAGACGACCCAACAUCAACAUCAAAGAUUAAUGUGGAGUUCAAGUUGAUUACAGGCCCAACAUAUUAGCCCUAAGCAGGCCCUACUUAAGCUUAACCGGGAUCAGGUGAUUUGCUGAGCAGACAAGAUAACAUACCUUCCAGCUUUUGUAUAUAUUUGAGUUUGAUAGCUUCUUUGACCGUGAAAAGGCUGAGAAUUCGUAGCUUCUGGAAAAGCUGGAGAGCUGCUUCUGAAAAUGCUGCUGUUCUACCUGUUGAACAACUCAGUGCAGCAGAAAUGGAGCACUGGAUUAAGUUACUGCUGAGAAAGGCAAAUGUAGUUCAUUUUUACAUGGUUCGGUGUUGCAGAAGACACUUCAUAAGCAACUUGCCAUUGGAGGUGUUCUAUCAGAAGCUGAAUUUUGGGCUGCAAGGAAGGUUAGUGUCUAAAAAAGACUGUUAGUUUUAUUACUUUUUUGUUAAAAUGCUGUUAUUGACUUAAUGAAAGUAUUGAGCUAUAUCUGGAACACCUGGCAGCUGUUUCCUCAAUACAUUGUGAAAAGCAUUACAGUAUUUUACCGUGCAAAUGAACUGCAGAACAGUGCUGGAUCAGAGUGAUAGGAAGAAGCCUAAACAGCACGGUGGCUUUAAAAAAUGACAUGUUGAGUGUAAAACCUCUAUUUAAUGCUCAGGUCAGAGGAAACUCUUCUCUCCCUGUGCUAGGGGUUACAAUGCCUGUCACCAGAUGCAGCAAUGAUACCUGCCUAAUAGGUUGCAGUAUGAUUUUUUUUUAGCUCAAACGUAUGUCUAAUCAAAAGCGUUUUCUAUGAAAUCUGAUCAAAUUCUCCUAAUGCAGAAGGUAUUUAGUACUUCUGUAACCCUAUUAUUGAUCCAAUAACAGAAUAGAAGUAGAUAGAAAUGAAACUGAAUUUCGAGAGAGAUCUUUUGCCAGCAAAAAUGUCGUCAUUGGAUUUGCUUCCUUCCCCCCCCCCCCCCCUCCCAAGGGGCCUUGUGUGAUCCUGUACUUUGUGGACAUGAAAGCUUAACUAUCUGCUUUUCUCCAUUGGUGUUUCGGACAAACAGAGUUACAUUUAUCUUGGCACCAGAGGUUAUUCACCAGGUAAUCUUAUGUGUUCUAUGAAAUGGUUUAAAUUAAUGGAACAUUAUAAAGAAAUCAAACUCAGCUUAAAUGAUAUGACAUAAGGUAUGGAAACUUCAUCUGCCUAGAUGAAAUGAGAAAUACAUGAGUGGAUUUUGCUUCAAAUGGAUGUCUCAGUUAAACUAGGAAGAGUUUUGAAAUUACAAAAUGUUAGAGCAAUUGGUUAAAAGUGUUCAGGAAUGGCAUGUGCUUGGUUCCACGCUGGAGCAUAAAGUAGGCAAACCUUGAGUUUAUGGUAUUGUGUUGUGAAUUUGCACCUGUCAAUAGAGAGUAGAGGUGUUUCAAGACUCCUCGACAUCUUAAGCUUAUGGAUAUGGAAGAAAUGGAGCCAAGUUGUGAAACUUGAACAUGCUCCAGGAAGGCCAAUCACUCCUAGAGGCUCGAAGUUAUUGGCUUCUACAGUGCAGUCAGGAACCACUGCUUCACUUGUCAAAUUUGAUACACACAAGUUAUUACAUGAAAAAGGAGUACCCUCAAUCCUUAAGUUUCAUUUUACCUAAUUCUUUAAGUGAAGUUUCUGUUUCCAGAUAUCAUAUCUUUCACACGGCUCUUUAAUAUCUACAACAGAUGCUACUUGUUGAAUUUUAAAUAAGAGCAACUGGCAUUAGAGCUUUGUCGAGUUCAUUAUGACAAAAAAGUAUUUUAACAACCUUAGAUGUAACUUUGCUUUGUAAUCGGUGCCUAAUCAUGUUGGAAAUUUAGUUUUAGAUCUUUGCUGAGAAACCAACUGGCCUAAAUGGCAUAUUUGAACUUCGUGCCGAGCAAGGUAAAAGACUGUGCAAAUAAAUGAGAUUGAAUCUUUUUAUUUGCAGAAGCGAUUUAAACUCUAUCAAUAAGGUUCAUUCUGAUCUUCUUAAUAUUUUCAUACACAAGUGCAUGUUGGGCGAGAUAUAUGUGCUUAGUUUAUUCCAAAAUCUUGGGGCUAGCUUGCCAUCAUCAAGUCUUAAUCUUAGGUGAAGUUUUGGAAACCUUUUUAACUACCAUCGGAUGUGGAAGCAAGCGGAAAACUGUUGUGCCACCUUAAGUUUACCACAUUUUCUGGCUUCCAUCUCUCUCUUUUUUUCCCCCUUUACCACUUGAUAAAGGGCAGCCCGGAGCACUAAGCUCCCUCUAUGCGCGAGGUCCGGGGAAGAGCCGGACCACAAGGGUCUAUUGUACGCAGUCCUACCCUGCAUUUCUGCAAGAGGCUGUUUCCACGGCUUGAACCCAUGACCUCCUGGUCACAUGGCAACAACUUUACCUGGAGGUCACGGGUUCAACCCGUGGAAACAGCUUCUUGCAGAAAUGUAGGGUAAGGCUGCGUAUAAUACACCUUUGUGGUCUAGCCCUUUCCCGGAUCCCGCGCAUAGCGGGAGCUUAGUGCAUCGGGCUGCCUUUAUCAAGUGUUAAAAAAAAAAAAAGCAAGACUCAAAUCUUAUUGCACUUUUAAAUGGUUGAACUUACAGUCUUUCAAAAUAAUAAGACACAAAUCUUAUCAGAUGAUAGAAAAGGAAUUUUGGACCAAAUAUUUAAGAGCAGAAUACCUCCACAGUACGAAAAACAUUGUUGCAGGUUCUUGAAGCAAGAUGAUCUGUUAGCUUAUGAAGCUCGGAAGAAGGUUUGUACAUCAGAUUUUACCAAUUUUAAUUAUUUAACAAUUGACAUCCAAAACUUGAGAAGUGAGGUGUAUAUUACUGCUCUCUCUCUCCCUCCCUCUUGCUAUCUGAGUAUCUCUGUUAUUUUUCCCCUUGAGAGGAAAUGGAAGGAGAAAAUUGUUUCUUUGAAUGAUUGGUCUUCCUUCCAGAUCAGACGGGUGGAUCCAACUCUGGACAUGGAACCAGAUGAAGGCGAUGAUUACAUACACCUCCAGGAUCAUGGACUACCUCAUGGUGAAACUAGGAGAUUUUGGAUCCACAGUAUGAGCCAUACAAGAGAUCAUCCUCGCAGCUCCUCUACAAGCAUGCAGCCAUGGUCCUUUGAGGAAGAGUUGUACAUGUUGAACUGGAUGGUUCACGGUCUGUUGCUGAAGCAUUCACCAGGGCAAACAGGCUGAACUAGCUAUCGAAGUGUCUGAUGAAAAGGAUAUAAAAAACGCCUGGAUAAAAUUCUCCGAGUGGCUCAUGAUAUUGAGGAUCUUCAUUCACCUUGUGAUCGUCCAGUUGCAUUCCUGAGUAUCAACGUUCCUCGAGACUACUUACUUUGAUUCUCAACGCGCAAAUGCAAUAAAGGCUUUGGGGGAUGCAGUUGUUGGGAUGAAACAGUUGAAACCUAGUGUGAUCGUACAAGAAGCCUUUUAGCUCCUUAGAGGAAUCCAUUUCCGAGAUCAAUUCUUCUCUUCUCGAGAAUAAACUGAACCAAAAAUUAGUUCAGAAGUAGCUCUCAAGGUUCUCAGUGCGCCAAGUAUCAUCUGGGAAAGAACCCCGGUGAGCGUCUUUUGGAUCAGUUACUUAGUGCAACCAAAAAAUGAAUUGCUACUUCACUGGACAUCAAUUCAGGAAAUGUUGAAGCAUUUCUGGUCAUUGUAUCCAAUAACAAGUAAAUAUUUUUAAACUAAGUUAACUAGAUUAAAGGAUGUGAUGUCCCAAAUAUAUGGAAAGCUGCAGAAGAUUAAGGAAUCUGUGCAAUCUGAUAUCCAACAUCAAGUUUCCCUUCUUGUACAGCCAAUGCUUCAGGUUCUUGAUGCUGCCUUUGCUCAUUACGACGCAGAUGUACAGAUGAGAUCUGCAAGAGGUGGGGAGAGACAAAAUAGACUUGUGUAGGCAAAGUGCCCGUUUUCACCUGAUUCUACCUCCCUUUGUCUUAUGAUAGAUUGGUUUUAUAGCUCAUUACAAAUAUUUUUUCGUAUAUAGUUUUUCCACCGGAGAUCGUUAUGAUAAUUUUUGUUUGAUCAUUUUCUUCGAUUCAAAUUGUAAUUGGUCAUAAGAAAUUAUUUCCUUUUGUCUUCAUGGGGUCACACAAAUGUACAUCCAGUAAUGAAAUGGGUGGACGUCCAAAUUGUACAUAUAUUGAGAUAUUGUCGAGGCAGGUAUAUCAGAGUUUUUCUUUAUUAGUUGGUUCUUUUC